GACGAACGCUGGCGGCGUGCUUAACACAUGCAAGUCGAACGGAAAGGCCCUGCUUUUGUGGGGUGCUCGAGUUGCGAACGGGUGAGUAACACGUGAGUAACCUGCCCUUUACUUUGGGAUAACUUCAGGAAACUGUGGCUAAUACCGGAUAGGAGCUCCUGCUGCAUGGUGGGGGUUGGAAAGUUUCGGCGGUUGGGGAUGGACUUGCGGCUUAUCAGCUUGUUGGUGGGGUAGUGGCUUACCAAGGCUUGGACGGGUAGCCGGCCUGAGAGGGUGACCGGCCACAUUGGGACUGAGAUACGGCCCAGACUCCUACGGGAGGCAGCAGUGGGGAAUAUUGCACAAUGGGCGGAAGCCUGAUGCAGCAACGCCGCGUGCUGGAUGACGGCCUUAAGGUUGUAAACCGCUUUCGCCUGUGACGAAGCGUGAGUGACGGUAAUGGGUAAAGAAGCACCGGCUAACUACGUG
rnacentral:rRNA from 1 species